UGGGGAAUAUUGCACAAUGGGCGAAAGCCUGAUGCAGCGACGCCGCGUGAGGGAUGACGGCCUUCGGGUUGUAAACCUCUUUCAGCAGGGACGAAGCGCAAGUGACGGUACCUGCAGAAGAAGCACCGGCUAACUACGUGCCAGCAGCCGCGGUAAUACGUAGGGUGCAAGCGUUGUCCGGAAUUACUGGGCGUAAAGAGUUCGUAGGCGGUUUGUCGCGUCGUUUGUGAAAACCAGCAGCUCAACUGCUGGCUUGCAGGCGAUACGGGCAGACUUGAGUACUGCAGGGGAGACUGGAAUUCCUGGGGUAGCGGUGAAAUGCGCAGAUAUCAGGAGGAACACCGGUGGCGAAGGCGGGUCUCUGGGCAGUAACUGACGCUGAGGAACGAAAGCGUGGGUAGCGAACAGG
rnacentral:rRNA from 1 species